AAAAUCAUUGCUUUGAGGCAGUGAAUGGCUUGUAUAAAGUUAAUUUGGUUUAGAAUAUGUUAUAAUACAAUGAAUGUGAUUGAUUACAAGUGCUAGAGAUGCAUGAAGAAUGUUUAGAAGUGAGAAGAAAGACCUAUCGAUAUUUGGUCCCAAAUUGGAUAAGAACCCAAAACCAUUGCUUUGAGGCAGUGAAUGGCUUGUAUGAAGUUAUUUUGGGUUAGAAUACGUUAUAAUACAAUGAAAUUGAUUGAUUACAAGUGCUAGCGAUGCAUGAAGAAUGUUUAGAAAUGAGAAGAAAGACUUGUGGAUAUUUGGUCCCAAAUGGGAUAAGAACCCAAAACCAAUGCUUUGAGGCAGUGAAUGGCUUGUAUAAAGUUAUUUUGGUUUAGAAUAUGUUAUAAUACAAUGAAUGUGAUUGAUUACAAGUGCUAGAGAUGCAUGAAGAAUGUUUAGAAGUGAGAAGAAAGACCUAUCGGUAUUUGGUCCCAAAUUGGAUAAGAACCCAAAACCAUUGCUUUGAGACAGUGAUUGGCUUGUAUAAAGUUAUUUUGGGUUAGAAUAUGUUAUAAUACAAAGAAUUUGUUUGAUUACAAGUGCUAGAGAUUCAUGAAGAAUGUUUAGAAGUGAGAAGAAAUACUUGUGGAUAUUUGGUCCCAAAAGGGAUAAGAACCCAAAACCAUUGCUUUGAGGCAGUGAAUGGCUUGUAUAAAGUUAUUUUGGUUUAUAAUAUGUUAUAAUACAAUGAAUUUGAUUGAUUACAAGUGCUACAGAUGCAUGAAGAAUGUUUAGAUGUGAGAAGAAAGACCUAUCGAUAUUUGG
rnacentral:lncRNA from 1 species